rnacentral:rRNA from 1 species
CACGUAGGGCGCGAGCGUUGUCCGGAAUUAUUGGGCGUAAAGAGCUCGUAGGCGGUUUGUCGCGUCUGCUGUGAAAACCCGGGGCUCAACUCCGGGCCUGCAGCCGAUACGGGCAGACUAGAGUUCGGCAGGGGAGACUGGAAUUCCUGGUGUAGCGGUGAAAUGCGUAGAUAUCAAGUGGAACACCAGUGGCGAAGGCGAGUCCCUGGACGACUCCUGACACUGAGGCACGAAAGCUAGGGGAGCAAACAGG